rnacentral:rRNA from 1 species
UACGAAGGGGGCGAGCGUUGUUCGGAUUUACUGGGCGUAAAGCGCACGUAGGCGGAUUUGUUAGUCAGGGGUGAAAUCCCGGGGCUCAACCUCGGAACUGCCUUUGAUACUGCAAGUCUCGAGUCCGAUAGAGGUGGGUGGAAUUCCUAGUGUAGAGGUGAAAUUCGUAGAUAUUAGGAAGAACACCGGUGGCGAAGGCGGCCCACUGGAUCGGUACUGACGCUGAGGUGCGAAAGCGUGGGGAGCAAGCAGG